rnacentral:rRNA from 1 species
AACGCUAGCGGCAGGGCUUAACACAUGCAAGUCGAGGGGCAGCGAGGGUGAUAGCAAUAUUACCUGUCGGCGACCGGCGCACGGGUGCGUAACGCGUAUGCAACCUACCAUCAACAGGGGGAUAACACUGAGAAAUUGGUACUAAUACCCCAUAAUAUCUCAUGCGGCAUCGCAUGGGGUUGAAAACUCCGGUGGUUGAUGAUGGGCAUGCGUUGUAUUAGCUGGUUGGUGAGGUAACGGCUCACCAAGGCGACGAUACAUAGGGGGACUGAGAGGUUAACCCCCCACAUUGGUACUGAGACACGGACCAAACUCCUACGGGAGGCAGCAGUGAGGAAUAUUGGUCAAUGGACGCAAGUCUGAACCAGCCAUGCCGCGUGCAGGAUGACGGCUCUAUGAGUUGUAAACUGCUUUUGUACGAGGGUAAACCCCGAUACGUGUAUUGGGUUGAAAGUAUCGUACGAAUAAGGAUCGGCUAACUCCGUGCCAGCAGCCGCGGUAAUACGGAGGAUCCGAGCGUUAUCCGGAUUUAUUGGGUUUAAAGGGUGCGUAGGCGGUUUGAUAAGUUAGAGGUGAAAUGUCGGGGCUCAACCCCGAAACUGCCUCUAAUACUGUUGGACUAGAGAAUAGUUGCGGUAGGCGGAAUGUAUGGUGUAGCGGUGAAAUGCUUAGAGAUCAUACAGAACACCGAUUGCGAAGGCAGCUUACCAAACUAUAUCUGACGUUGAGGCACGAAAGCGUGGGUAGCAAACAGGAUUAGAUACCCUGGUAGUCCACGCAGUAAACGAUGAUAACUCGUUGUCGGCGAUACACAGUCGGUGACUAAGCGAAAGCGAUAAGUUAUCCACCUGGGGAGUACGUUCGCAAGAAUGAAACUCAAAGGAAUUGACGGGGGCCCGCACAAGCGGAGGAACAUGUGGUUUAAUUCGAUGAUACGCGAGGAACCUUACCCGGGCUUGAAAGUUAGCGACGACGCUUGAAAGAGCGUUUCCCUUCGGGGCGCGAAACUAGGUGCUGCAUGGUUGUCGUCAGCUCGUGCCGUGAGGUGUCGGGUUAAGUCCCAUAACGAGCGCAACCCCUACUGUUAGUUGCCAUCAGGUGAUGCUGGGCACUCUAGCGGGACUGCCGGUGUAAGCCGAGAGGAAGGUGGGGAUGACGUCAAAUCAGCACGGCCCUUACGUCCGGGGCCACACACGUGUUACAAUGGUAGGUACAGAGGGCAGCUACCCUGCGAAGGGGUGCGAAUCUCGAAAGCCUAUCUCAGUUCGGAUUGGAGGCUGAAACCCGCCUCCAUGAAGUUGGAUUCGCUAGUAAUCGCGCAUCAGCCAUGGCGCGGUGAAUACGUUCCCGGGCC